rnacentral:rRNA from 1 species
UACGUAGGGUGCAAGCGUUGUCCGGAAUUAUUGGGCGUAAAGAGCUCGUAGGCGGUUCGUCGCGUCGGCUGUGAAAACCCGGAGCUCAACUCCGGGCCUGCAGUCGAUACGGGCGGACUUGAGUGUUGCAGGGGAGACUGGAAUUCCUGGUGUAGCGGUGAAAUGCGCAGAUAUCAGGAGGAACACCGGUGGCGAAGGCGGGUCUCUGGGCAACUACUGACGCUGAGACGCGAAAGCGUGGGGAGCAAACAGG